UUCCGGUUGAUCCUGCCGGAGGCCAUUGCUAUUGGAGUCCGAUUUAGCCAUGCUAGUCGCACGAACUCAGAUUCGUGGCAUAUAGCUCAGUAACACGUGGCCAAACUACCCUACAGACCGCGAUAACCUCGGGAAACUGAGGCCAAUAGCGGAUACCACUCUCAGGCUGGAGUGCCGAGAGUGAGAAACGUUCCGGCGCUGUAGGAUGUGGCUGCGGCCGAUUAGGUUGAUGGUGGGGUAACGGCCCACCAUGCCAAUAAUCGGUACGGGUUGUGAGAGCAAGAACCCGGAGACGGUAUCUGAGACAAGAUACCGGGCCCUACGGGGCGCAGCAGGCGCGAAACCUUUACACUGCACGACAGUGCGAUAAGGGGACUCCAAGUGCGAGGGCAUAUAGCCCUCGCUUUUCUGUACCGUAGGGAAGUACAGGAACAAGUGCUGGGCAAGACCGGUGCCAGCCGCCGCGGU
rnacentral:rRNA from 1 species